rnacentral:lncRNA from 1 species
AGUUGACCUGAUUUUCUUGUUGGAAACUCGAACCAUUUUGGGCUCUAGGGGUAUCCUUAGUUCUUCCUUCCUCUUCCUCAUCGAUGGUAGUGACUAACUACUCUACUUGUAUUUUCAUUCGGUCUAAUGCUUGGGUGUUUGAAUUUAAAAGUUGGCCCAUAGUCUGCAUAAAGUCGAUAUGUGACUUAAUCAAGACUUCUAAGCUUUUUCUAGUGAAUUGAGCCAUUGAUCAUCUUCAAACUCCCUUAUUAAUACAUAUGCAUCCUCAUUUAUGGUGAAUUGAGGA